CAUCUGUGGAAUCCUGAGGAAACCUGGAUUCCGGUUUGAAAGCCAGCGUCCAAGCUGUCAGCAGCCAUGUCUUGUGGUCCCUUGCUGGAUGGGAGAGGUGCCGAGCCCAAGCAGCAGUGAGCAAUGAUGUGUCCAAACGGCAUACUGUGCUUCAGGAGGUGUGGGCAAACAGUAUCAGCACCAGAGGAUGUCAAUGAGAACCAUCAGAAGUCUGGAAGCCACAAGGCCUGGACUGCACCAUCCAUCACCUGGAUGCUACAAGAAUGAACAGGAGUGCAGAUCAACCAGGACACGUGAUGUCCAGAGUACACACACCAGUCCAGA